AGUGAACGCUGGCGGCACGCCUAACACAUGCAAGUCGAGCGAUAAGCUAACUUCGGUUAGUGGACAGCGGCGGACGGGUGAGUAUCGCGUGGGAAUUUACCAUAGAGUGGGGGACAACUGCUGGAAACGGCAGCUAAUACCGCAUACGCCCUAAGGGGGAAAGGCUUCGGCCGCUCAAUGAGAAGCCCGCGUACGAUUAGUUUGUUGGUGGGGUAAUGGCCUACCAAGA
rnacentral:rRNA from 1 species